rnacentral:rRNA from 1 species
AUUGAACGCUGGCGGCAUGCCUUACACAUGCAAGUCGAACGGCAGCGGACCUUCGGGUGCCGGCGAGUGGCGAACGGGUGAGUAAAGUAUCGGAACGUACCUUUCAGUGGGGGAUAACGUAGCGAAAGUUACGCUAAUACCGCAUAUUCUGUGAGCAGGAAAGCAGGGGAUCGCAAGACCUUGCGCUGAUUGAGCGGCCGAUAUCAGAUUAGCUAGUUGGUGAGGUAAAGGCUCACCAAGGCGACGAUCUGUAGCGGGUCUGAGAGGAUGAUCCGCCACACUGGAACUGAGACACGGUCCAGACUCCUACGGGAGGCAGCAGUGGGGAAUUUUGGACAAUGGGGGCAACCCUGAUCCAGCCAUGCCGCGUGAGUGAAGAAGGCCUUCGGGUUGUAAAGCUCUUUCGGCCGGGAAGAAAUCGCUUAGGUUAAUACCCUGAGUGGAUGACGGUACCGGAAUAAGAAGCACCGGCUAACUACGUGCCAGCAGCCGCAGUAAUAC